rnacentral:rRNA from 1 species
ACGCUCGACACCUACGGGGGCAGCAGUGGGGAAUAUUGCACAAUGGGGGAAACCCUGAUGCAGCGACGCCGCGUGAAGGAUGAAGUAUUUCGGUAUGUAAACUUCUAUCAGCAGGGAAGAAAAUGACGGUACCUGACUAAGAAGCCCCGGCUAACUACGUGUCAGCAGCCGCGGUAAUCUGAGCGGGCUGGCAAGGC